rnacentral:lncRNA from 1 species
GGGCAGAUGUGUGAGUGUGCCUGUGCCUCGUCUCUGUGUGUAUGAGCACACACACACCUGUCUACCGUGUGUGUGACCUACGGAAUGACACAGACCCCUGGGGACAGUGGUGGCAAGGAUGCUGUUGUAUGUGCACCUGCUUGGAAGCAGGUCCAUCACUUCAGUACAGAAAUGCUUUUCUUCUGGUUUGCUGCUCUUUCCCCUGUCAGCAACAUGCACCAAAAUGUUGAAAACCUGAAAGACAAGUAAAAGAUCUGUAAUAUUUCUCCUUCCUGCCUGCCUCUCCACCAUCUUCAUAUACACAGCUGCCUUCAACCUGUGUCCACGUAGGUCAAUUCCCAGUUCAUGAUGUCCUUUUAGCGAAUGGAAUGGUCCAGGUACUUGUGACAAAAUAUUGCACGAUGAAGUCUUUCCAUUGGAAUAAUUGACUGUAUUUCAUUUUGGUCCUUAAAAUAUAUAAACUUUGCCCAUCAAAUUUUGAGUUGGAGAAAAUUCGUUGAGGAGGCUAUUGUCAUCUGAAGACUCAUUGUCUGGAGUUUCCCUCAUACUAUCAAAUUCGUCAUUGUCCUUGGAGCCCAAGUCUGGCCGCCUCUGCCUUCAUCUUCUGAUACAUUGAAGGAUUGUGAAACAUCUUCCUUUAUUUUUUCCUCUUUGCCGUGAUAAAUGGAAAGCAAAGGAAUUCACUGUCUUCUACUAUGUUUGAUGCAAGCUACAAAGAUGGUGUGUCCAGUCUUCUCUUAUUCCUUCUUAAAGAUGAUGCCAUACUUUUGGCAAUGCAAUGGGAAAGCCUUGAAUGAUGCAGUUGUGUUGAUUUAUCUCAUUAUUGCAUUAUCCUCUGAAUCCAGGUCAUUCCACCAUUCUUCUUCUUCUUUCAUAUUGGUCAGAAAAACUCAUGAGUAAUGAUGAAGUAGCAAAUGUUAUUCGAUGACAUGGGAAAAUAAGCACCCUAAGUCACUUAGAUGUACAACAGGGUCCAAUGGAUGCUAUGGUAAUAUAGAAUUAAUCUUAUUUCUUUAAGAAAAAUAAGUAAUUUUUUUUCCUUUGGAAAACUUAUAAUAAAGAAUAAAAAUUAAGUGAUAAC